rnacentral:rRNA from 1 species
CCUACGGGACGCUGCAGUAGGGAAUCCUUCACAAUGGGCCAAAGCCUGAUGGAGCAACGCCGCGUGCAGGAUGAAGGCCUUCGGGUUGUAAACUGCUUUUAUAAGCGAGAAAUAUGAUGGUAACUUAUGAAUAAGGAUCGGCUAACUACGUGCCAGCAGCCGCGGUCAUACGUAGGAUCCGAGCAUUAUCCGGAGUGACUUGGUGUAAAGAGUUGCGUAGGUGGCAUAAUAAGUAGCUAGUGAAAUCUGGUGGCUCAACCAUUCAGACUAUUAGCUAAACUGUUAAGCUCGAGACCGUUAGGGGUAACUGGAAUUUCUAGUGUAGGAGUGAAAUCCGUAGAUAUUAGAAGGAACACCAAUAGCGUAGGCAGGUUGCUGGGACGGUUCUGACACUAAGGCACGAAAGCGUAGGGAGCAAACGGGAUUAGAUACCCGAGUAGUC